GCUCUGUGAUCUGUGAUGCAGAGAAAUACAGAAUGUCCUGGAAGACCAAGAAGGUGGGGAAGGAGGAGGCUCAUAUGACCUAAUUUGAUGGGAACAGUAGAAACUAGUCUUCAUGACAGCACAUAGUUCUCCAAAAUGAAUAAAAGCAGAGGAAGCUACCCUUUCUAGAUAUAAAUACUAAAUGCAGAUGCAGUAAAAUAAAUUAUCAUGAGGUUCUUCCCUUGAAGUUACAACCACAGAUCGGUGAGAAUUCCACCUGCCAUCAGGGCGGACAUUCUCUAGGUUAUGGUCCUAAUAAUUAGCUGUGAGACCUCCUGAAGGCUGUAUUAAAGCACAUGGAAACCAAACCAAAAACAGUGACACAGUCACCAAGUGUAAAGGGCAUGCUGGAGGGGAUGAAGAUGUGGCCUGGAGUAGUAACGGAACAAUUCCUGUUGGAGACGAGUAUUCAGACAUCACUACUGUACCAUUGAUGGGUACUAACUCCCGAAAAUUUAACAGCUACUUGUGAAAGUCAAGCAUUUUGACAAAAAGUAAUCUUUAAAAGUGCAUGUGCAAAUUUAUCACCUACAAGGAUAUACUCAAAGUGUACUGAGAAAGAAAGAUCAGUAGUUAUUAAGGUAAACUUAUUUUGGCAUGGUUUAAUCAAUAAAU
rnacentral:lncRNA from 10 species